UGGGCUUUCUAUUACCCUAAGUUCCUUCUUUUUUUGAACCGCUCAGAUCCUCAAUGGCACCUCUCUCUCCAUUACCACCAAGAAUUGUCACUGGGAACCACUGCCACAACAUGCAUAAAGUAGUCUCCCCAUUUUUUUUCAUUUGGAAAGCGGAAAUGAUUGAAUAAAGCAAACGCCCCUGUUACUCUUGGUAACAACAAAUGCACAAAGGGGAACAAAGAAAGGAAGAUAAGGCAUGGGUUAUGGAUGGAGGUUGUAUUAUGGAAGUUAUGAAUGGAUGAAUGUCACUAUUAACCUCUCUUGCAAAUUUUUAGGUUUAUAUUUAUUUAGCAAAAUUUAACUUCACUGAGAUUGAAGUAUGAUCAUAAUAUGAUCAAUGUAAAGUACGUCUCUUCUUUUUUUCUUUUCAAUGCAUAAUAUGAUCAAUGUAUAGUAUGAUCAUAUAUAUAUAUAUAUAUAUAUAUAUAUAUAUAUAUAUAUGAUGGUAACCUUUAUGUAGUAGUGUAUCUCUCAAGUAAGAUGUUCGAAGUGACUUUAUGUCA